AAUUUUAUUUCUAACUUCUUCACAUCUUCUUUUAGUGUUUUAUUGUUACAGUUGCAACAAUCUUAACACAAUAGUUAUUUCUAUCUGUAACAAUGGGUAAGAACGAUGUUGAUAGGUCUGCAAAAUUUUCUGUGGAGCUCAUCCGGUUUGUCAAUCCGAUCACUUCCAUUAUAAAGGAGAUAAGUAUCAAUAAAUUUUGUUUAUUUGAUCGUUCCUUGUCUUUAAUUAUAGCACCCAACAAUCAUGGAUGUUAUUUGUGGAGUGAAAAAGCAAAAAAAUGAAUUUUUGGGUCAUCUGUAGUGUUUCGAGUUUAUCUCUUAACCUAGAAAGAAUUUUGAUAAAACCUUUUGGAAUAAUGUAGUAGACAUCUUCAUAGUUACCCACGUAAAAUUUCAGAAUUUUUGGAGUUGUAAAAGUAUUUUUUCGAUAUUUUACAAAACAGAGAAAUGUUCCUGAAAAAUUCUGACGAGCAGAAAUUUGUUGUUGACAAUAUUAGUUUUUAUGGGGUAACCAUGAGUUUUUUGAAAUGGUGGUUCAAACGAAGUUUGUAAAUCCAGAUGUUAUCUUCAAAAUUCAUAGUAUACUUUCUGAUUCGGAAUUGUGUUUUGUGAAUAAAGGUGCCAUCUAUAAGGGACAUGGCUAAUAGGCGCAUGUGGCUGAAAAUAAAUCUUCCAAAGAUGGCAAAGGUGAGAACGUCAAAUGCAACACUAUGCAUAGCUCUUGUAAGAAAGUGUUUUAUUGUUACAGUUGCAACAUUUACAGAAACAAGCCUACUACAGGUUCCUUGAAAAGACCUACUACCUUCAUCUAGUUGGCCUUGCACUGUUGUUGUACACCGUAGAAGGCUUAUCCCACCUUAUUUGGGGAAUGGAUGUACGAACAACAUUAGGGUACCAUUUCACAUUCGUGGUGAAUUCAAUGUGCCAUACAUGGGGGGAAAGCCAUGGAAAACCAACGACUUAUCCAGGAAAAAUUGGAUGGUAGGCUUAUUAGGACAUGGAGAAGGUUGGCACAACAACCAUCAUGCCUUUGAGUUCUCAGCUCGGUUAGGGCUCGAAUGGUGGCAGAUUGACGCGCCUUGGUACGAUAUAAAGCUGCUUGAGUAUCUUGGAUUAGCAUCAAAUGUCAAAGUCCCUACAGAGAUUCAGAAGUUUAAAUUGUCUCACGAAAAUCAUAAUGAAUUUCCUCAAACCGAAAAGUUGCACUAAUUCAAUCUAUUGAUUACCUUUAGUAAGUGAGGAUUUGGGUUUUCUUUGUAAACUUAAGUACUGUAAUAGGAUUAUUGCAAUAAGUUCCAUGAUGCAUAGCAAAUGUAUAUGUUCUAAUAGACCAUAGCAUAUAUGGGCAGAUAGCCUGCCUAAUUGCUAUAUUGAUGUGUGUAUCUGUACUUACAAGCUCUUCUCAUUGAUUCAUGAGCUUAGUUUUC